rnacentral:rRNA from 1 species
UACGAAGGGGGCAAGCGUUGUUCGGAAUUACUGGGCGUAAAGGGCGCGCAGGCGGCUGAUCAAGUCUGAUGUGAAAGCCCCGGGCUCAACCUGGGAAUAGCAUUUGGGACUGGUCGGCUAGAGUUCGGGAGAGGAGAGUGGAAUUCCCAGUGUAGAGGUGAAAUUCGUAGAUAUUGGGAAGAACACCGGUGGCGAAGGCGGCUCUCUGGACCGAUACUGACGCUGAGGCGCGAAAGCGUGGGGAGCAAACAGG